rnacentral:rRNA from 1 species
GACGAACGCUGGCGGUAUGCUUAACACAUGCAAGUCGAGCGAGAAUCGUUUAUUGAAGGCUUCGGCUGGAAAUAGAUGAGGAAAGCGGCGAACGGGUGAGUAACGCGUGGGCAACCUGGCCUUAAGAAAAGGAUAGCCCCCGGAAACGGGGGUAAUACUUUAUGAGAAUGAGAGAGGGCAUCCUACUUUCAUUCAAAGCGCAAGCGCUUAAGGAUGGGCCCGCGUAUCAUUAGCUAGUUGGUGAGAUAACAGCCCACCAAGGCAACGAUGAUUAGCCGGUCUGAGAGGGCGAACGGCCACAUUGGAACUGAGAGACGGUCCAAACUCCUACGGGAGGCAGCAGUGGGGAAUAUUGCGCAAUGGAGAAGAACUCUGACGCAGCAAUACCGCGUGAGCGAAGAAGGUCUUCGGAUCGUAAAGCUCUGUUAUCAGGGAAGAAGAAAAUGACGGUACCUGAUGAGCAAGUCCCGGUAACUACGUGCCAGCAGCCCG